ACACAUGCAAGUCGAACGGAAAGGCCCCUGCUUGCAGGGGUACUCGAGUGGCGAACGGGUGAGUAACACGUGGGUGAUCUGCCCUUCACUUCGGGAUAAGCCUGGGAAACUGGGUCUAAUACCGGAUAGGACCAAUCUUUAGUGUGGUUGGUGGAAAGUUUUUUCGGUGGAGGAUGAGCCCGCGGCCUAUCAGCUUGUUGGUGGGGUAAUGGCCUACCAAGGCGACGACGGGUAGCCGGCCUGAGAGGGUGGACGGCCACAUUGGGACUGAGACACGGCCCAGACUCCUACGGGAGGCAGCAGUGGGGAAUAUUGCACAAUGGGCGGAAGCCUGAUGCAGCGACGCCGCGUGAGGGAUGACGGCCUUCGGGUUGUAAACCUCUUUCGCUAGGGAAGAAGCCUUCGGGUGACGGUACCUGGAUAAGAAGCACCGGCUAACUACGUGCCAGCAGCCGCGGUAAUACGUAGGGUGCGAGCGUUGUCCGGAAUUACUGGGCGUAAAGAGCUCGUAGGUGGUUUGUCGCGUCGUCUGUGAAAUUCCGGGGCUUAACUCCGGGCGUGCAGGCGAUACGGGCAAACUGGAGUGCUGUAGGGGAGACUGGAAUUCCUGGUGUAGCGGUGGAAUGCGCAGAUAUCAGGAGGAACACCGAUGGCGAAGGCAGGUCUCUGGGCAGUUACUGACACUGAGGAGCGAAAGCAUGGGUAGCGAACAGGAUUAGAUACC
rnacentral:rRNA from 1 species